GUUGUAUGGUUAAGUGACUAAGCGUACACGGUGGAUGCCUGGGCAGUCAGAGGCGAUGAAGGACGUACUAACUUGCGAUAAGCGCAGAUAAGGCAGUAAGAGCCGUUUGAGUCUGCGAUUUCCGAAUGGGGAAACCCAACUGCAUAAGCAGUUACUGUUAACUGAAUACAUAGGUUAACAGAGCAAACCGGGGGAACUGAAACAUCUAAGUACCCCGAGGAGAAGAAAUCAACCGAGAUUCCGGUAGUAGCGGCGAGCGAACCUGGAUUAGCCCUUAAGCACUCGGUGAAGUAGGUGAACAAGCUGGAAAGCUUGGCGAUACAGGGUGAUAGCCCCGUAACCGACGCUUCAUCGAGCGUGAAAUCGAGUAGGGCGGGACACGUGAUAUCCUGUCUGAAUAUGGGGGGACCAUCCUCCAAGGCUAAAUACUCCUGACUGACCGAUAGUGAACCAGUACCGUGAGGGAAAGGCGAAAAGAACCCCUGUGAGGGGAGUGAAAUAGAACCUGAAACCGUGUACGUACAAGCAGUAGGAGCACCUUCGUGGUGUGACUGCGUACCUUUUGUAUAAUGGGUCAGCGACUUAUAUUCAGUGGCAAGGUUAACCGUAUAGGGGAGCCGUAGCGAAAGCGAGUCUUAACUGGGCGCUCAGUCUCUGGAUAUAGACCCGAAACCGGGUGAUCUAGCCAUGGGCAGGUUGAAGGUUGAGUAACAUCAACUGGAGGACCGAACCGACUAAUGUUGAAAAAUUAGCGGAUGACUUGUGGCUAGGGGUGAAAGGCCAAUCAAACUCGGAGAUAGCUGGUUCUCCCCGAAAGCUAUUUAGGUAGCGCCUCGGACGAAUACUACUGGGGGUAGAGCACUGUUAAGGCUAGGGGGUCAUCCCGACUUACCAACCCUUUGCAAACUCCGAAUACCAGUAAGUACUAUCCGGGAGACACACGGCGGGUGCUAACGUCCGUCGUGGAGAGGGAAACAACCCAGACCGCCAGCUAAGGUCCCAAAGUAUUGCUAAGUGGGAAACGAUGUGGGAAGGCUCAGACAGCUAGGAUGUUGGCUUAGAAGCAGCCAUCAUUUAAAGAAAGCGUAAUAGCUCACUAGUCGAGUCGGCCUGCGCGGAAGAUGUAACGGGGCUAAGCAAUACACCGAAGCUGCGGCAAUAUCUUUUAGAUAUUGGGUAGGGGAGCGUUCUGUAAGCCGUUGAAGGUGAAUCGUAAGGUUUGCUGGAGGUAUCAGAAGUGCGAAUGCUGACAUGAGUAACGACAAAGGGGGUGAAAAACCUCCUCGCCGGAAGACCAAGGGUUCCUGUCCAACGUUAAUCGGGGCAGGGUGAGUCGACCCCUAAGGUGAGGCCGAAAGGCGUAAUCGAUGGGAAACGGGUUAAUAUUCCCGUACUUCUGACUAUUGCGAUGGGGGGACGGAGAAGGCUAGGUGGGCCAGGCGACGGUUGUCCUGGUUCAAGUGCGUAGGCUUGAGAGUUAGGUAAAUCCGGCUCUCUCUAAGGCUGAGACACGACGUCGAGCUGCUACGG
rnacentral:rRNA from 1 species